rnacentral:rRNA from 1 species
UACUGAGGUGGCAAGCGUUGUUCGGAAUUACUGGGCGUAAAGGGCGCGUAGGCGGCUUGGUCAGUCCCGUGUGAAAUCCCUCGGCUCAACUGAGGAACUGCACGGGAAACUGCCUGGCUUGAGUUCGGGAGAGGGAAGCGGAAUUCCGGGUGUAGCGGUGAAAUGCGUAGAUAUCCGGAGGAACACCGGUGGCGAAGGCGGCUUCCUGGACCGACACUGACGCUGAGGCGCGAAAGCUAGGGGAGCAAACGGG